UUUGCCGGUCACAGCAGAGCGGGCCGUACCCAUUCCGAACACGGAAGUUAAGCCGUCCUGCGUUUGAGUGUUAGUCCAGUGCGAAAGCCUGUGCGAAGCUCGGAUGUUGGCAAGC
rnacentral:rRNA from 1 species